CUUCUUCGUCCAGGUCAGGCCCUGGGUGGUCAGCAGCAGCUACGCUUUGGCUCCGACGGCUGUCUUCGGAGUUUGAAGCCCUUGCCGCCAGAUGCCGGGCUGGCGUCAGUGGAUGGAA
rnacentral:miRNA from 14 species